rnacentral:lncRNA from 1 species
UAGGAGCAAGAGAAAUUUUGAUACACUAACUUUUGGUUCUUAAACUCUGUUCUUCAGGGUUAUUUCUGUGGUGAAUGCUUCCAUACUAGUGAUAUAAUUAGCCUGAAUCAAAUGCCAAUUACUGGCUCUUCUGUUGACGUAGUAGUAUUCGCGGGCUUUUACAUCUACUUAAUAUUAGUCACAGUCAGCACCAUUUCUUCAAUAAGUUAAUAACAUAAAAAUGAACCUAAACUUGACACCAAAUUAUAACUUUGACCUUAAACUUUGAUAGUGCACAAAUAUGACCUUUAACUAUUCAAAACUGCACAAAUAUGACCUCCAAUCCUACGUGGCAAAAUGCGUGUUCAACACGCAAAACUGGGCGCUUCCAGCUUAAAAUCUAAGGGCAUAAUACAUAAAUAUGACCUUAAACUUUGACAGUGCACAAAUAUGACCUUUAAAUGACUCUUCACUAUUAUUUUUUCAUUAUUUUUGGCUCAAAGAUGAAAAUAACAUCUAAUUUCUUUUGUCAUUGCGGAAAAAGAGCAAUAUUGAAGAUUUAUUAAUUAGGCGGGUCAGCCUCAUACGAAAAAAUCGAGCGGGUAUGUAUAUAUAUUAUAAAGCAGAGGACGAAUUUAAGUUAUAUAAUAUAUCUAAAUAUUAUUUAUUUAAAUAUUAAAUUAAAGAUGAAACUAUACUAAUAAUNNNNNNNNNNNNNNNNNNNNNNNNNUGUUCAUUGAUUUCUUCAUAUAUAUUUUUAUGUUAUUUUAAAAUCUUUUAAUGAAAAUUUUGACUCUACUAUUAACCUAAUCGUCAUAGAUCAAACUAAUCUUUAAUGGAUCAAAAAGUUGGAUGGAUUCUUUUUAAUGGAUAAUUUUUUUUUAAAAAAAACAAAUAUUUUUUUUUAAAAAUGACGUGGACCUCUAAUAUGCUGCCACGUGGCAAAGUUGUUUUCUAAAAAUCGGUUGUUAAAAGUAAUGGCAUGGAUGGACCAGUUUUGUUACGGCGAUAGCAUGAAUGAGCCCAACUUUUAAAGGAUGGCAUAAAUAAGCCAUUUCUGAUAGUUCAGUGGCAUAUUUGAGCCUUUCCCUUAUAAAUAAUAAUAAUAAAAACGACGUUGUUUUAACACAAAAAGCAAAACUUUGACAGUGCACAUAUAUGACCUUUAACUAUUCAAAACUACACAAAUAUGAC